UACGUAGGGUGCAAGCGUUAAUCGGAAUUACUGGGCGUAAAGCGUGCGCAGGCGGUUUUGUAAGUCUGACGUGAAAGCCCCGGGCUUAACCUGGGAAUUGCGUUGGAGACUGCAAGGCUUGAAUCUGGCAGAGGGGGUAGAAUUCCACGUGUAGCAGUGAAAUGCGUAGAGAUGUGGAGGAACACCGAUGGCGAAGGCAGCCCUGGUCAGAUGACGCUCAUGCACGAAGCGUGGGAGCAACAGG
rnacentral:rRNA from 1 species